GCGAACGCUGGCGGCAGGCUUAACACCUGCAAGUCGAGCGGGCACUUUCGGGUGUCAGCGGCGGACGGGUGAGUAACGCGUGGGAACGUGCCCUCUGGUUCGGAAUAACUCAGGGAAACUUGAGCUAAUACCGGAUACGCCCUUUUGGGGAAAGGCUUGCUGCCGGAGGAUCGGCCCGCGUCUGAUUAGCUAGUUGGUGAGGUAACGGCUCACCAAGGCGACGAUCAGUAGCUGGUCUGAGAGGAUGAUCAGCCACACUGGGACUGAGACACGGCCCAGACUCCUACGGGAGGCAGCAGUGGGGAAUAUUGGACAAUGGGCGCAAGCCUGAUCCAGCCAUGCCGCGUGAGUGAUGAAGGCCUUAGGGUUGUAAAGCUCUUUUAUCCGGGACGAUAAUGACGGUACCGGAGGAAUAAGCCCCGGCUAACUUCGCG
rnacentral:rRNA from 1 species